GACGAACGCUGGCGGCGUGCUUAACACAUGCAAGUCGAACGGAAAGGCCCUGCUUUUGUGGGGUGCUCGAGUGGCGAACGGGUGAGUAACACGUGAGUAACCUGCCCUUGACUUUGGGAUAACUUCAGGAAACUGGGGCUAAUACCGGAUAGGAGCUCCUGCUGCAUGGUGGGGGUUGGAAAGUUUCGGCGGUUGGGGAUGGACUCGCGGCUUAUCAGCUUGUUGGUGGGGUAGUGGCUUACCAAGGCUUUGACGGGUAGCCGGCCUGAGAGGGUGACCGGCAACAUUGGGACUGAGAUACGGCGCAGACUCCUACGGGAGGCAGCAGUGGGGAAUAUUGCACAAUGGGCGGAAGCCUGAUGCAGCAACGCCGCGCGCGGGAUGACGGCCUUCGGGUUGUAAAACGCUUUCGCCUGUGACGAAGCGUGAGUGACGGUAAUGGGUAAAGAAGCACCGGCUAACUACGUG
rnacentral:rRNA from 1 species